rnacentral:lncRNA from 1 species
CUACCUUGGCCUCCCAAAGUGCUGGGAUUAUAGGGUGAGCCAUCGCGCCCGGCCCCUUUUGAUUUCUUUACAGAAUAUUGCUGUAGUAUAACUUUUUUCCAUGCACUUAAUUUUUGUUCCCUUGUUGGCAUAUUUCAUUUUCUUCCCUGAAAAUGGGUAGACUGAGAUAAGGUAUGAGGAAGCCUUGGCCAUGCCACCAGCCGCUUAUCCCAAAUUCCUGAUCCCUGGAAGACAUCUGGGCUCUCCCUCCUGUUCCAGCCCAGUAGCUUCCAGCAAAGGUACUGGCUCAAUUGGACACGGAGUGUGGAACUGCCUGCUCACACUUGUGAACCCCCGUCCAGAAGGAAGAAACAGAAAGGGCCCAGUGAGUAUAGGAAGAUGCCAGGGCCCACUGUGGAAAGCCUGGAGCCAAGUUUUUCUUAAAUGCAAAUGUCCCCAGUGUGGGGUCACGUCCAAGCUCCAGAAGGAAGCCUGGCCUGGGCGGGGGGGUGGGAGGGCUGUUGCUAGAACCUGUCAAUCCUGCUCCACACUUCCGAGUUUUCCGUGGCUUCUCCUGAAACCCGGGCCUAGGGGGUGGGGCUUGAUUCCUAUCCUAGGGGUACUGGGCGGGGUCGUGUAAAUUAUCCAAUCAGGCGCUCCGCCAGGAGGGUGGGGCCAAGCUCCGCAAGUCUAAGGGGCUCCUGUUCCCCUAACCCACUGAAUUCAGCCUUCCAGAGGCCGAGGUGGCUCCACCACAGCUUCUGUCCGGUGGUGACCAGCACUGAUCUCCGGAGCCAAGGGAGGACCCGGGACACCUGGGAGCCGGGAAAUGUUUUCCAUGGCUCCGAGACAAUGACACCGCUUCAGUGUGAACUCUCAUGAAUUGAGUCUAGAUCCCCAGUGCUGUCCGUCUCACCUGUCCUCCUCUACACAUAUCUGGGAUAUGUCACGGCUUGGUGGUCUUUGAAGAUGUGACUCUGAACUUCAUCCAGAAGGAGUAGGCUUUGCUGGAUUUUUCCGUGAAGAAUCUGUAGAGAUGUGAUGAGGGAAGCCAUCAGCACCUGGCUUCUAUAGCUGCAGCCCAAGAGGCCAACUGGAACGUUAACAUCAGACACUAAUCCAGCUGACUGGACACAAUUGGGAAAACUGGUUAUUUUACCAAGGCUUUAACUGGAAUGGUGUGCCUUCCUUUAAGGAAUCAAAUUUGACUUAUGGAGCCAAUAAAGCCCUUGGAAAGCUGGCCUCAGAUUUCAUGUACAGUCCCUGUACAGGGUUUCCGAUCUGUGAGAUUUUUUAAACUGACAGGAUCAUGGCCAUUUCACAGACAACUACCCAAAAAUAUCUACAGACGGCACUGCUCCUACCAACCCGAUACCAGAGAACUCUCUGUCCCCUCGUCAGCAGGAAGUAGCCAGAAAGAACAUGCCGCCCCUCGUCCUUUUUAUAACUAUGAGGUCUGGAUUGACAGAGCAGAAGCAUCACCAUUGUGGAUAAGCGCCUCAUUUUAAAAUUCACCUUAAUCAAAAACUGCCUAAAUCCAAAGGGCAUCAGCCUAAUGGCUAAGGUCAGCAUGAUCACAAACCACAAAUAACAUCUCCAACCAAAAACAUUCCAGACACCUCCCACAGAGAAAUGCUAGCCUCGGGAUAACCCCUCUCCUGCCGGAAAGAUGUCACCCCCAAGAUAACCACCCCUCCGCCCAGAACAUUCCAACCCUGCCACAAACUUCUCCCCCACACAGAAACAUUCCAAGCUUGUAAUAAGCUCCCUCACCCUAAAACCAACGUACAUUCUUAGUCUGCAAGGAAAAGUGCUCCUGACUGACCAGCCAGAAUCCUCUCUCAGGUCUUUUCUAUAAUAAACCUGUCUUUGACUGUCAA